UAGGGAAUCUUGCACAAUGGGCGCAAGCCUGAUGCAGCAACGCCGCGUGCGCGAUGAAGGCCUUCGGGUCGUAAAGCGCUUUUCUGGGAGAAGAGUACGGACGGUAUCCCAGGAAGAAGGCUCGGCUAACUACGUGCCAGCAGCCGCGGUAAAACGUAGGAGCCAAGCGUUAUCCGAAUUUACUGGGCGUAAAGCGCGUGCAGGCGGUUCUGUAAGUGGGCUGUGAAAUCUCCUGGCUCAACUGGGAGAGGCCGGUCCAGACUGCGGGACUGGAGGGCGGUAGAGGGAGGUGGAAUUCCCGGUGUAGUGGUGAAAUGCGUAGAGAUCGGGAGGAACACCAGUGGCGAAAGCGGCCUCCUGGACCGUACCUGACGCUCAGACGCGAAAGCUAGGGGAGCGAACGGGAUUAGAAACCCCGGUAGUCCUAGCCGUAAACGAUGUCGACUUGGCGUCGGUGGGGUAAAAGCCAGCGGUGCCGGAGCAAACGCGAUAAGUCUACCGCCUGGGGACUACGGCCGACG
rnacentral:rRNA from 1 species